AUGCUUUUUUAACCAGGUUUUCCGAAGGAAAAAACUGGUUAUUAGAUUGGCGAAUGCGGGCGGGCUGGCUGGCGGGCUGGCUGGCUGGCUGGCUGGCGGACUGGCGGAAUAAGCUUGUCCGGGCCAUAACUAUGUCGUUCAUUGUCAGAUUUUAAAAUCAUUUGGCACAUUUGUUCACCAUCAUUGGACGGUGUGUCGCGCGAAAUAAUUACGUCGAUAUCUCCAAGGUCAAGGUCACACUUUGAGUUCAAAGGUCAAAAAUGGCCAUAAAUGAGCUUGUCCUGGCCAUAACUAUGUCAUUCAUUGUGAGAUUUUAAAAUCAUUUGGCACAUUUGUUCACCAUCAUGGGACGGUGUGUCCCACGAAAGAAUCACGUCAAUAUCUCCAAUGUCAAGGUCACCACGACUAAAAAUAGAUUUUAAAAAAAAAAAAACUUACAAAGGGGGUUAUUUUUUUUUGGUCAUUUCAAAAGUUCAGUUUGAGUUUUCUCCCUUUAUCAGAUUUUUUUUUCACAAUGAAAACCUGGUUUUGUGACAAUUUUGUCCCUUGUUCACUGUUUAUUUACAUUGUUAAAGAGUUUAACUGGAUAAUUUCACUGGAUUUAUGACGUCAUUUCAUUGUAAAAAUGACGUCAUUUCACAGUAAAACAGUGAAAAAUAUCGAUAUUUUCAAUGUUUAAAACAGUGAAAUAUCAGUUUUAUUUCAUUGAUAUUUCUCUAUAAAUCACCGGAAAGCAUAAAAUAAAGUUAAUUAUUACCGUACACUUAGUCUUGUUUGGUUUCACACAUUUGUGUCUCAUAUUAAUUUAACUCUUCUUGCAUGUUAAUAACCAAUAUUUUUCAUUGUAGAAGGCCUCUUGUUAAAAGAAUUCUCAUAAGUUCUAUUCAUUCAAUGUUGCCUGACUUUUGAUACCAAAGCUUCCUUGCAUUGUUAAUAGCCUCUUUCAAAUGUUACAUGAUCGUCAUACUUGCAUGCCCCUGGCAUCUCCUGCAGAUCUUGAGAGGCAUAAACUAAUAGGCCAGUUUGUUAUUCCAUCCAUUCAUAGGUAUGAGAUUAACCCUAGAUAUCAUCUUACAAAAAAAUCUUAUGUAAAACAUCAAUGCUGGACAUUAGAUUUUUGAAAAGCAAGUUUAUUUUUAUGCCCCCAAAGGAGGACAUAUAGUUAUCUCACUGUCCGUCCGUCCGUCGUCUGUCACACUUUGCGUUAAUGUUUCGAAAAAUGCUCAUGACUUUUAUGUCGCUUCAGAUGUAACCUUCAUAAUAUGGUAUGCAUGUGUUUAUGGACAAGCCCUUUCCAUAUGCAUAAAAAAUUUGACCUCUGUGAUUUUGACCUUGAACUUAGGGUCCACGUUUAGGUUUCGAAAUCUGCGUUUAG